CUUCAACUAUAAACAACCAUAUCGUUCGUUUGAUCGACCAGUCGGUGUAGAAGACAUUUAUGUUUCUACGGCGACGCCGAUGCGUACUCAACUUCACAUGCGAGGGGGGACCGGCUAAACGGAGAGUUAUGAAGUGGAGAGUUACUAGUAUCUCGGAGAGUUAUGAUUUCGGAGAGUUGGUUCUAACCACGCCCACUUUUCCCAACGACCACACCCAAUUUCUUAACUCUCCCGAU